UAUUUAAGGUCCCCAGGUCCUGCGGUGCGGGCGGGCGGUACUUUCCGUCAAGAAACAUCGGGGGCUCGGACGAGGUCCAUACUUUUGGUCCUGUCUUGGGG
rnacentral:sRNA from 12 species